UUAGCGGCGCUUUUUAGCGCCACAAAAGCGCCGCAAAAGAUGCCG
rfam:Gossypium raimondii Chr04_contig_259, whole genome shotgun sequence.